rnacentral:rRNA from 1 species
AUUGAACGCUGGCGGCAGGCCUAACACAUGCAAGUCGAACGAGUGGCGGACGGGUGAGUAAUGUCUGGGAAACUGCCCGCUGUCGGGGGAUAACUCCUGGAAACGGUAGCUAAUACCGCAUACCCUCUGAUGUGCCCAGAUGGGAUUAGCUUGUGGGUGGGGUAACGGCUCACCGAGGCGACGAUCCCUAGCUGGUCUGAGAGGAUGACCAGCCAGACUGGAACUGAGACACGGUCCAGAUUCCUACGGGAGGCAGCAGUGGGGAAUAUUGCACAAUGGGCGCAAGCCUGAUGCAGCCAUGCCGCGUGUAUGAAGAAGGCCUUCGGGUGGUAAAGUACUUUCAGCGAGGAGGCGUUACCCGCAGAAGAAGCACCGGCUAACUCCGUGCCAGCAGCCGCGGUAAUAC